AACGAACGCUGGCGGCGCGUCUUAAGCAUGCAAGUCGAAUGGCAAGGAGGUGCUUGCACCUCCCUAGAAUGGCGGACUGGUGAGUAACACGUGGGUGACAUACCCUUAGGACGGGGAUAGCUUCCAGAAAUAGAAGAUAAUACCGGAUACGACCACUACAGUUAGAGUGUAGUGAGGAAAGGGGCUACGGCCCCGCCUGAGGAAUGGCCCGCGGCCCAUUAGCUAGUUGGUGAGGUAAAGGCCCACCAAGGCGAUGAUAGGUAUCCGGCCUAAGAGGGUGAACGGACACAUUGGGACUGAGAUACGGCCCAGACUCCUACGGGAGGCAGCAGCUAAGAAUAUUCCGCAAUGGACGAAAGUCUGACGGAGCGACGCCGCGUGGAUGAUGAAGGCCGUGAGGUUGUAAAGUCCUUUUGAACCUGACGAAUAAGCGCGGGAGGGAAUGCCAGCGUGGUGACGGUAGGGUUUGAAUAAGC
rnacentral:rRNA from 1 species